UACUGGGCGUAAAGCGCGCGUAGGCGGUUUGUUAAGUCAGAUGUGAAAUCCCCGGGCUCAACCUGGGAAUGGCAUUUGAGACUGGCAGGCUAGAGUAUGGUAGAGGUGAGUGGAAUUUCAGGUGUAGCGGUGAAAUGCGUAGAGAUCUGAAGGAACAUCAGUGGCGAAGGCGACUCACUGGGCCAUUACUGACGCUGAGGUGCGAAAGCGUGGGUAGCAAACAGGAUUAGAUACCCUGGUAGUCCACGCCCUAAACGAUGUCAACUAGGUGUAUGGAGAAAAUAUUCUUUGUGUAUCGAAGCUAACGCGAUAAGUUGACCGCCUGGGGAGUACGGUCGCAAGACUAAAACUCAAAUGAAUUGACGGGGGCCCGCACAAGCGGUGGAGCAUGUGGUUUAAUUCGAUGCAACGCGAAGAACCUUACCUGGCCUUGACAUGUACGGAA
rnacentral:rRNA from 1 species